AUCCAUCUGACGAGUUCUAAAUAGGACGAAACAUGCAU
rnacentral:hammerhead_ribozyme from 1 species